rnacentral:rRNA from 1 species
AUGUACGCACCGAGAGGAGAGCCCUUACUUCCCGUAGAAGAGGCCGACGUGCGAGAUGGUGGCGGCGAUGGUGGCGAAGCUGAGCCCGUAAGAGAGCGCAAAGAAGUCCGUCCCGUUGGACAUGAAGAGCUGCGUGGAGAAGAGGGGGAACGUCUUGGCGUGGUACAGGUUGGUCCCCCAGUACGCCGUGGGCACCAGCACCCAGACGAAGAAGACGUAGCCGACGAAGAUGUUGGCGAUGGCGAAGAAGGGCGUGAUGAGCGGGCUGCCGAGGUAGGAGGCGACGGUCUCCCAGUCGAGGGUGAAGGCUCCGAGGCCCAGGCCUUUGAGGCCGGAGCCGAGCUGCUGCGCGGUCACCGACUUGGGGAACGCCCAGCACACCCAUGCGAUGGACGUCAGGCUCUGGAAGAUGAAGCCUGGCAGGGCGUAAUACGAGAAGCUGCAGAUGAGCACCACCAGGAAGAACUUGAAGCGUGA